AUUGAACGCUGGCGGCAUGCCUUACACAUGCAAGUCGAACGGCAGCACGGGAGCAAUCCUGGUGGCGAGUGGCGAACGGGUGAGUAAUAUAUCGGAACGUGCCCAGUCGUGGGGAUAACGUAGCGAAAGCUACGCUAAUACCGCAUACGAUCUAUGGAUGAAAGCGGGGGAUCGCAAGACCUCGCGCGAUUGGAGCGGCCGAUAUCAGAUUAGGUAGUUGGUGAGGUAAAGGGCUCACCAAGCCGACGAUCUGUAGCUGGUCUGAGAGGACGACCAGCCACACUGGGACUGAGACACGGCCCAGACUCCUACGGGAGGCAGCAGUGGGGAAUUUUUGGACAAUGGGCGCAAGCCUGAUCCAGCAAUGCCGCGUGCAGGAUGAAGGCC
rnacentral:rRNA from 1 species